rnacentral:tRNA from 1 species
UGGCUCAGUUGGUAGAGCAUGGUGUUUGCAACGCCAGGGUUUUAGGUUCGAUUCCCAA